rfam:Erinaceus europaeus unplaced genomic scaffold scaffold00635, whole genome shotgun sequence
AUAUGUGAGGGCGAUCUGGCUGCGACAUAUGUCACCCCAUUGAUCACCAGGGUUGAUUUAACUGAUCUGGCUGGCUAGGCCUGAGCCCCCUUCCUCCCUCACUGCUCCAUGUGCGUCCCUCCCGAAGAUGCGUGCUUGGUCAAAGAGGACGGCCUUCUCCAAAUAGAGACAGACCGACUGGUCUUAGGUUGUGGGUAUAAGAGUAGUUACGCUCCCCUCUAGAACCUCCAAACAAGCUCUCAAGGUCCAAAUGUCCCUCCCCUUUUCCUCUUCUCUGGAUACUGAUGAAAUUGGAGUUCAGAGUCGUCUGGUUAUCUUC